AUUGAACGCUGGCGGCAGGCCUAACACAUGCAAGUCGAGCGAGCGGCGGACGGGUGAGUAAUGUAUGGGGACUGCCCGAUAGAGGGGGAUAACUACUGGAAACGGUGGCUAAUACCGCAUACUAUUGGAUAACCCAUCUGGGAUUAGCUAGUAGGUGGGGUAAAGGCUCACCUAGGCGACGAUCUCUAGCUGGUCUGAGAGGAGGACAAGCAACACUGGGACUGAGAAACGGCGCAGACUCCUACGGAGGCAGCAGGGGGGAAUAUUGCACAAUGGGCGCAAGCCUGAUGCAGCCAUGCCGCGUGUAUGAAGAAGGCCUUAGGGUUGUAAAGUACUUUCAGCGGGGAGGCGUUACCCGCAGAAGAAGCACCGGCUAACUCCGUGCCAGCAGCCGCGGUAAUUC
rnacentral:rRNA from 1 species